GAUGAACGCUGGCGGCGUGCCUAAUACAUGCAAGUCGAGCGAACGGACGAGAAGCUUGCUUCUCUGAUGUUAGCGGCGGACGGGUGAUUAACACGUGGAUAACCUACCUAUAAGACUGGGAUAACUUCGGGAAACCGGAGCUAAUACCGGAUAAUAUUUUGAACCGCAUGGUUCAAAAGUGAAAGACGGUCUUGCUGUCACUGAUAGAUGGAUCCGCGCUGCAUUAGCUAGUUGGUAAGGUAACGGCUUACCAAGGCAACGAUGCAUAGCCGACCUGAGAGGGUGAUCGGGCACACUGGAACUGAGACACGGCCCAGACUCCUACGGGAGGCAGAAGUAGGGAAUCUUCCGCAAUGGGCGAAAGCCUGACGGAGCAACGCCGCGUGAGUGAUGAAGGUCUUCGGAUCGUAAAACUCUGUUAUUAGGGAAGACCAUAUGUGUAAGUAACUGUGCAAAUCUUGACGGUACCUAAUCAGAAAGCCACGGCUAACUACGUG
rnacentral:rRNA from 1 species